UACGGGGGGGGGCAAGCGUUGUUCGGAAUUACUGGGCGUAAAGGCUCGUAGGCGGCCAACUAAGUCGGACGUGAAAUCCCUCGGCUUAACCGGGGAACUGCGUCCGAUACUGGAUGGCUGGAGUUUGGGAGAGGGAUGCGGAAUUCCAGGUGUAGCGGUGAAAUGCGUAGAUAUCUGGAGGAACACCGGUGGCGAAGGCGGCAUCCUGGACCAAUACUGACGCUGAGUGAGCGAAAGCCGGGGGAGCAAAAGCGGGAUUAAGAUGACCCCCAGUAUCCC
rnacentral:rRNA from 1 species